rnacentral:rRNA from 1 species
UGGGGAAUAUUGCACAAUGGGCGCAAGCCUGAUGCAGCCAUGCCGCGUGUAUGAAGAAGGCCUUCGGGUUGUAAAGUACUUUCAGCGGGGAGGAAGGGAGUAAAGUUAAUACCUUUACUCAUUGACGUUACCCGCAGAAGAAGCACCGGCUAACUCCGUGCCAGCAGCCGCGGUAAUACGGAGGGUGCAAGCGUUAAUCGGAAUUACUGGGCGUAAAGCGCACGCAGGCGGUUUGUUAAGUCAGAUGUGAAAUCCCCGGGCUCAACCUGGGAACUGCAUCUGAUACUGGCAAGCUUGAGUCUCGUAGAGGGGGGUAGAAUUCCAGGUGUAGCGGUGAAAUGCGUAGAGAUCUGGGGGAAUACCGGUGGCGAAGGCGGCCCCCUGGACGAAGACUGACGCUCAGGUGCGAAAGCGUGGGGAGCAAACAGG